rnacentral:misc_RNA from 1 species
CCUGGCCUUGGGCCGCUCGCGGGGGUGCGUCGCUUGCGAUGACGCUCCCGGGGGCGCUUAGCCCUUGACUAUCACCUUGAUUAUGUGCACCUUUGUUGUUCCCUCGGCAGCUCGCUGCCGCCAGGGACCCCGAAACCCCCUUGCAUUAGCAUCAAACCUCUGAAAACAAACCUAAUUAUUUA